rnacentral:rRNA from 1 species
UACAGAAGCCUCGAGCGUUGUUCGAAAUUACUGGGCGUAAAGGGAGUGUAGGUGGUGACGUAAGUCAGAUGUGAAAGCCCCGGGCUUAACCUGGGAAGUGCAUUUGAUACUGCGUUGCUAGAGUGCAAGAGAGGAGAGCGGAAUUCCAGGUGUAGGGGUGAAAUCCGUAGAUAUCUGGAGGAAUACCGAUGGCGUAGGCAGCUCUCUGGUUUGUAACUGACACUGAGACUCGAAAGCGUGGGUAGCAAACAGG